rnacentral:rRNA from 1 species
UACGGAGGGUGCAAGCGUUGUUCGGAAUUAUUGGGCGUAAAGAGCGUGUAGGCGGUUUGGUCAGUCAGAUGUGAAAGCCCUGGGCUCAACUCAGGAAGUGCAUUUGAUACUGCCUCACUAGAGUAUAGGAGAGGAGAGUGGAAUUCCCAGUGUAGAGGUGAAAUUCGUAGAUAUUGGGAGGAACAUCCGUGGCGAAGGCGACUCUCUGGACCAAUACUGACGCUGAGACGCGAAAGCGUGGGGAGCAAACAGG